rnacentral:rRNA from 1 species
GACGAACGCUGGCGGCGUGCUUAACACAUGCAAGUCGAACGGAAAGGCCCUGCUUUUGUGGGGUGCUCGAGUGGCGAACGGGUGAGUAACACGUGAGUAACCUGCCCUUGACUUUGGGAUAACUUCAGGAAACUGGGGCUAAUACCGGAUAGGAGCGCCUGCUGCAGGGUGGGGGUUGGAAAGUUUCGGCGGUUGGGGAUGGACGCGCGGCUUAUCAGCUUGUGGGUGGGGUAGCGGCUUACCAAGGCUUUGACGGGUAGCCGGCCUGAGAGGGUGACCGGGCACAUUGGGACUGAGAUACGGCCCAGACUCCUACGGGAGGCAGCAGUGGGGAAUAUUGCACAAUGGGCGGAAGCCUGAUGCAGCAACGCCGCGUGCGGGAUGAAGGCCUUCGGGUUGUAAACCGCUUUCGCCUGUGACGAAGCGUGAGUGACGGUAAUGGGUAAAGAAGCACCGGCUAACUACGUG